UCAUUACUAGAGCAAAGGAUAGACAGCGCCCGCGGAGCUCGCUCCCGGGGCUACCCUACUCCCGUAGGGUUUAGAGUCGUCGGGCCUCUCGGAGAAGCUCGGUCCUGAACUCCACCCUUGAAUAAACUACCUUUGUUGCUUUGGCGGGCCGCCUCGUGCCAGCGGCUUCGGCUGUUGAGUGCCCGCCAGAGGACCCCAACUCUUGUUUUUAGUGAUGUCUGAGUACUAUAUAAUAGUUAAAACUUUCAACAACGGAUCUCUUGGUUCUGGCAUCGAUGAAGAACGCAGCGAAAUGCGAUAAGUAAUGUGAAUUGCAGAAUUCAGUGAAUCAUCGAAUCUUUGAACGCACAUUGCGCCCUCUGGUAUUCCGGGGGGCAUGCCUGUUCGAGCGUCAUUAUAACCACUCAAGCUCUCGCUUGGUAUUGGGGUUCGCGGUUUCGCGGCCCCUAAAAUCAGUGGCGGUGCCUGUCGGCUCUACGCGUAGUAAUACUCCUCGCGAUUGAGUCCGGUAGGUCUACUUGCCAGCAACCCCUAAUUUUUUUUAAGGUUGACCUCGGAUCAGGUAGGGAUACCCGCUGAACUUAAGCAUAUCAA
rnacentral:rRNA from 1 species